GACGAACGCUGGCGGCGUGCUUAACACAUGCAAGUCGAACGGAAAGGCCCGGCUUUUGUGGGGUGCUCGAGUGGCGAAGGGGUGAGUAACACGUGAGUAACCUGCCCCUGACGGUGGGAUAACUUCAGGAAACUGGGGCUAAUACCGGAUAGGAUCUCCUGCUGCAUGGUGGGGGUUGGAAAGUUUCGGCGGUUGGGGAUGGACUCGCGGCUUAUCAGCUUGUUGGGGGGGUAGUGGAUUACCACGGCUUGGACGGGUAGCCGGCCUGGGAGGGUGACCGGCCACAUUGGGACUGAGAUACGGCCCAGCCUCCUACGGGACGCAGCAGUGGGGAAUAUUGCACAACGGGCGGAAGCAUGAUGUAGCAACGCCGCGUGCGGGAUAACGGCCUUCGCGUUGUAAACCGCUUUUGCCUGUGCCGAAGCGUGAGUGACGGUAAUGGGUAAAGAAGCACCGGCUAACUACGUG
rnacentral:rRNA from 1 species